GCUAAACGCGAAGAACCUUACCCAGACUUGACAUGCACUAGACCGCUUCAGAAAUGAAGCUUCCCUUCGGGGCUGGUGCACAGGUGCUGCAUGGCUGUCGUCAGCUCGUGCCGUGAGGUGUUGGGUUAAGUCCCGCAACGAGCGCAACCCUUAUCAUUAGUUGCCAACACGUAAUGGUGGGAACUCUAAUGAGACUGCCUGGGUUAACCAGGAGGAAGGUGAGGAUGACGUCAAGUCCGCAUGGCCCUUAUGUCUGGGGCUACACACGUGCUACAAUGGUCGGUACAAAAGGCAGCGAAACCGUGAGGUGAAGCAAAUCCAAAAAAGCCGAUCUCAGUUCAGAUUGUAGUCUGCAACUCGACUACAUGAAGACGGAAUUGCUAGUAAUGGCGAGUCAGCAACAUCGCCGUGAAUACGUUCCCGGGUCUUGUACACACCG
rnacentral:rRNA from 1 species